GUCAGUGUCUGUGUGUAUGUGUGUUUCAGUAUGUCUGUCUGUGUGUAUGUGUGCCAUAAUGUCUGUAUGUCUGUCAGUGUGUCAGUAUGUCUAUGUGUGAGUCUGUCAGUGUCCAUGUGGUUCUGUAUGUCUGUGUGUUUCAGUAUGGCUGUCUGUGUGUGUCUCUGUGUCAGUACGUCUGUCAGAAUGUGCCUUUGUAUCUGUAUGUUGUCCGUUUGUGUUUGUGUGUGUAUCUAUAUAUAGUCAGUGUGUAUCUGUAUGUCUUGAGUUUGUAUAUCUGCAUGUGUGUCAGGUUGUGUAUCUGUGUAUCUGUGUGUCUGUAUGUGUGUCAGUGUGUGUGUCGGUGUAUCUAUAUGUAGUCAGUGUGUGUACCUUUGUAUCUGCAUGUAUCAGUGUUUGUAUCUGUGUAUCUGCAUGUUUGUCAGGUUGUGUAUCUGUGUUUGUGUCUAUCUGUGUGUCAGUGUUCUAUAUGUAGUCUGUGUGUAUCUGUAUGUUCUUGUGUGUAUCUAUAUGCAGUCAGUG